UGAAAGAAGGAAGCCCAUGGAAGACAAAGGACUAUGGUUGUGGCCUACAAGAAGCCAAGGGCAUGUUCUCUUUUAGACUUUUGAAGACCAUGGCCUUGGAUCUGUCUGCUGGUUGGAACUUAGCUGUCUACUGUGAGGGGAAACUGAAAGAGAUUCACUGACAUGGGACUGGGAACCACAGACCUCACCCAGGGACAGAGACAAGAACCCAGCAUUUGAAAGACAAAAGAUGCUGCAGAACCAGCAACUCUACCAUUGUACCCCACCAUUACAGACAGCCAAAACUGCACAUCCCUGCAUGGAGCGCACAUGCUUAAUAUGCCAGGGGCUAGCCCUUGCCUGGGCAUGCAUCCUGUCACUAGGGUCACACAAGGUCUGCCCCUAUAAAAAGGGGCAGUGAAGACGGACCCAGUGGUAUGCCCUCUCCAUCUGGACCAGCACCAUGCCACACCACCUAUCCACCCAGAGGUCCUGCUGGCGACCCCCCUCUGGACAACACGUACUGGAUAAGGACCCCUUUCCAGCCUGGAUAGGUGGCUAUCACCUCCACCCUCUCUUCAACCAAGGGCUUGGACUCAGCUUCUCUUUCCCACCUGGACUCCAGCCCUUCCACUGAGUCUCUUAAUUCUGCUGCCAUUGUGAGUGCAUUGUUACGCCUCAGCUCUGUAUUCUGGGGCAACCCUGGCACAGGAUACAGUCUGUCUGACUCACAAGGACUCACCACCCCCCUCCCUCCCCUCCUCUACCUAAACGAAACUGAUUAAGAUGCAGUGAGAGACGCACCUAAAACUCUCCAGAUAAGGGUGAUAAGAGUGAAACAACUGCCCUAGGUCUCAUUUACAUCCGAGAUAAAACCAGAUGACCAUUCAUUUACAUGAGAGAUGGAAAACAGAAAGCCUGAACCAGAGACUGCAGUGAAUUCUGGGACCAGAGAAGCAGGAGAGCGCUGCAUGAUGGGGAAUCUGUGCUUCCAAUGUUAAUUAACCCAUGUUCACACACACCCAGCUCAGCAUUUAUCAGACCAGUUCUAAUCUGGAUUUGCUAAGGACUUUCCCCCCCCCCC